rnacentral:rRNA from 1 species
UACGAAGGGGGCUAGCGUUGUUCGGAAUUACUGGGCGUAAAGCGCGCGCAGGCGGCUAUCCAAGUCAGUGGUGAAAGCCCGGAGCUCAACUCCGGAACUGCCAUUGAAACUGUUUAGCUGGAGUAUGAGAGAGGUGAGUGGAAUUCCCAGUGUAGAGGUGAAAUUCGUAGAUAUUGGGAAGAACACCGGUGGCGAAGGCGGCUCACUGGCUCAUUACUGACGCUCAUGUGCGAAAGCGUGGGGAGCAAACAGG